GUGCGGCUUAUAGUCCGAAAAUUGGUAUAAUGUCCGCGCAUUUACUCGCGGGAGCCGUGUCAGAAAGCUCGGUGCACACUCACAAGUGCGUGUGCGUACUCAGUAGUACGUAGUAAUUUCAU